rnacentral:rRNA from 1 species
CCCUUAGAUGUUCUGGGCUGCACGCGCGCUACACUGAUACUUUCAGCGAGUCCACCACCUUGCCUGGGAAGGUGGGGUAACCUCUGGAAAGUGCAUCGUGAUGGGGAUCGAUUAUUGUAAUUAUUAAUCUUCAACGAGGAAUUCCUAGUAAGCAUGUGUCAUCAGCCCGUGCUGAUUACGUCCCUGCCCUUUGUACACACCGCCCGUCGCUCCUACCGAUUGAGUGAUCCGGUGAGGCUUUGGGAUCUGAGCGGAAAGAGCGUUUCGCUGUUUCUGCUCGGAAAACUCAGUCGAACCUUAUCAUUUAGAGGAAGGAGAAGUCGUAACA